rnacentral:rRNA from 1 species
CGUGCCUAACACAUGCAAGUCGUACGAGAAAUCCCGAGCUUGCUUGGGAGAGUAAAGUGGCGCACGGGUGAGUAACGCGUGGGUAACCCACCUUCGAAUUUGGGAUAACUCCGCGAAAGCGGUGCUAAUACCGGAUAAGACCACAGCCGUUUCGGCGGCAGAGGUAAAAGCUGACCUCUCCAUGGAAGUUAGCGUUCGAAGACGGGCCCGCGUCCUAUCAGCUUGUUGGUGGGGUAAAGGCCUACCAAGGCAGCACGGGUAGCUGGUCUGAGAGGAUGAUCAGCCACACUGGAACUGGAACACGGUCCAGACUCCUACGGGAGGCAGCAGUGAGGAAUUUUGCGCAAUGGGGGAAACCCUGACGCAGCAACGCCGCGUGGGUGAAGAAGGCUUUCGGGUCGUAAAGCCCUGUCAGGUGGGAAGAAACUCUUCAGCACUAAUAAUGCUGAAGCCUGACGGUACCACCAGAGGAAGCACCGGCCAACUCCGUG